CCUACGGGUGGCAGCAGUGGGGGAUAUUGCACAAUGGGGGAAACCCUGAUGCAGCAACGCCGCGUGAGGGAAGAAGGUUUUCGGAGUGUAAACCACUAUUCUUGGUGAAGAUAAUGACGGUAACUGAGGAGAAAGCUCCGGCUAACUACGUGCCAGCAGCCGCGGUAAUACGUAGGGAGCAAGCGUUGUACGGAUUUACUGGGGGUAAAGGGUGCGUAGGCGGUCUUGGAAGUCAGGCGUGAAAACCACGGGCUCAACCUGGGGAAUGCGUUUGAAACUGUGGGGCUGGAGUGCAGUAGAGGUAGGCGGAAUUCCUGGUGUAGCGGUGAAAUGCGUAGAGAUCGGGAGGAACACCAGUGGCGAAGGCGGCCUACUGGGCUUUAACUGACGCUGAGGCACGAAAGCAUGGGUAGCAAACAGGAUUAGAUACCCGGGUAGUC
rnacentral:rRNA from 1 species